rfam:Actinoplanes utahensis strain NRRL 12052 contig13, whole genome shotgun sequence.
AGGGUUCCGGUUCACGCCGCUCCAGCAGGACGGCGACCCGGCGGCC